AGUCACUGGGACUCGCAGAUAAACCCAGAGGCGAAGUGAAAGCGGAAGGCGGGUCGCUCGCACCUCGGUGCUUGCUUCUCAGUCCUUCGGGAGGAUGGGCGCGCCCCUCGGGGCCGCCCCCGCCAUCCCGGGGCGCCUCGGCCUCGGCCGCAGGCGCACCCGGAGCGCACACGUUGGGACCCGAAAGAUGGUGAACUAUGCCUGGCCAGGACGAAGUCAGGGGAAACCCUGAUGGAGGUCCGCAGCGAUUCUGACGUGCAAAUCGAUCGUCAGAGCUGGGUAUAGGGGCGAAAGACUAAUCGAACCAUCUAGUAGCUGGUUCCCUCCGAAGUUUCCCUCAGGAUAGCUGGCGCUAAUCUGGAAUGACGAGUCUCAUCCGGUAAAGCGAAUGAUUAGAGGCCUUGGGGCCGAAACGACCUCAACCUAUUCUCAAACUUUAAAUGGGUGAGAUCUCCGGCUUGCCCGAUUCUUAUCGAAGCCGCGAGAGUAGUCGGAUCAGAGUGCCAAGUGGGCCAAUUUUGGUAAGCAGAACUGGCGCUGUGGGAUGAA
rnacentral:rRNA from 1 species